UCUACUUCCGUUUCAUGUUGACUUAAAAGAAUUAUAGAAUUUAGAGUUCUGUUUCCUCUCUUAGAAUCUGUAAAAUGUUAGAAAUCAGAAUGUUCAGAACUCAGAAUGUUCAGAAUGUGUUCUGUUGAAUUGAGAUGUCACUGGGAAUGCUGGUCUGAUAUUCCCCACAGGCCUGGAUCUGUUACCAUGGCAUCACGGCUCACCCUCCUGCACCAGUAUCCCAGCAGAAGAGAUCAGGUGUCCAUGAAGUGAAGCAUUCACAGCCCACUGACUUCACUGAGCUCAAUGAACACUGUGAGGUGGAGCGGAGAGAGUCGAAAGAAGGUGGCGCGAUUCCCUCAUUAUUUGAUCCUACUGGAAGCAUCCUUGUUUUGCAGUCCUGUAAAGUUUGCAGAGACCCAAGGAAAAACACCAGCCUUUCCUGAUUACAGUGCUGAAUUUCACGGCUUUUCCAUGAAAACGUGCGUUUAGCAGCAUAAUAAACAUCUGCUCGACAGACAGCAUGAAAA